CCUACGGGAGGCAGCAGUGAGGAAUAUUGGUCAAUGGACGAGAGUCUGAACCAGCCAAGUAGCGUGAAGGAUGACUGCCCUAUGGGUUGUAAACUUCUUUUAUAUGGGAAUAAAAUGUUCCACGUGUGGGAUUUUGUAUGUACCAUAUGAAUAAGGAUCGGCUAACUCCGUGCCAGCAGCCGCGGUAAUACGGAGGAUCCGAGCGUUAUCCGGAUUUAUUGGGUUUAAAGGGGGCGUAGGUGGAUUGUUAAGUCAGUUGUGAAAGUUUGCGGCUCAACCGUAAAAUUGCAGUUGAAACUGGCAGUCUUGAGGACAGUAGAGGUGGGCGGAAUUCGUGGUGUAGCGGUGAAAUGCUUAGAUAUCACGAAGAACUCCGAUUGCGAAGGCAGUUCACUGGACUGCAACUGACACUGAGGCUCGAAAGUGUGGGUAUCAAACAGGAUUAGAUACCCCUGUAGUC
rnacentral:rRNA from 1 species